GAACGCAGCGAAAUGCGAUAAGUAGUGUGAAUUGCAGAAUUCAGUGAAUCAUCGAAUCUUUGAACGCACAUUGCGCCCCUUGGUAUUCCAUGGGGCAUGCCUGUUCGAGCGUCAUUUGUACCUUCAAGCUCUGCUUGGUGUUGGGUGUUUUGUCUCGCCUCCGCGCGCAGACUCGCCUUAAAACAAUUGGCAGCCGGCGUAUUGAUUUCGGAGCGCAGUACAUCUCGCGCUUUGCACUCAUAACGACGACGUCCAAAAGUACAUUUUUACACUCUUGACCUCGGAUCAGGUAGGGAUACCCGCUGAACUUAAGCAUAUCAAUAAGC
rnacentral:rRNA from 1 species